rnacentral:lncRNA from 1 species
AGCAAAUUAUAAUUAUUGAAGCCACAACAAGAAGUUUUGUAACAACGCACGACCUCACCCAAAAUAACUAGCCAAAAGAUAUUAUUUGGAUUUUUUUUAGUCAUAUAUAAGUACCUAAGAUUUUUUCGGCAAAUAACCGAUGUGGAACUAAACACACGCCCGCAUGGGUCGUCACAUACUCUCCCCGUUUAAACCCUUACAUCCUUAUCA